GGAAGACAUGCCGACGGCCCAACGAGCCGCUGUGGGUCUGCCGACUGCCAGCAGAGGGAAGCAGCUACAAAGCCACCAGGGAUGGCAUCGGUUAAAGGGCAGAGAACUGAGAUGGGGAUAAGUCAGGGUACCGACUACCCAAAGUCCGACCAUACCCAGUUGUAAAACACUUUGAUUUCCUGCCUUAGAAGCACGUUGUUCCACAAUUUUGUUUUAACCUGACAGAACACAACAUUAGUGAUGCCCACUUCACCCCACCUUAUGUUAAAACGCACCUCUAUCUAGUUUCACUGCCAGAUAGUCAACACACUGUACCCAGACCGCUCUCACCUCUCUGGGGCUGAAAGCACAUCACACACACAGACAAAGCAGCCAUGUUGGAAAUAUCUUACCUAGCAGCUCCAAAACAAAGCAGAAAUAGUCUAAAAUCAACCUCUUGUAUUAUUACAUUUCACCAAGUAUCUAGAAAACCUCACCUACUAGGAAUGCUGAUGCUGUAAUCGAACACUAGAUAACUCACGCAAGCGUGUUUAUAAA